rnacentral:misc_RNA from 1 species
AGCAGCCGCGGUAAUUCCAGCUCCAAUAGCGUAUAUUAAAGUUGUUGCAGUUAAAAAGCUCGUAGUUGAAUUUCGGGAUCAGAGGAUCGGUCAUGCCUUGGUAUGUACUGGUUUUAUUGGUUCUCACCUUCUAAAGAACCAUAAUGUCAUUCAUUUGAUGUUAUGGGGAAUUAGGACUGUUACCUUGAAAAAUUAGAGUGUUUAAAGCAGGCUUACGCUUGAAUACAUUAGCAUGGAAUAAUGAAAUAGGACAUCAGAUUCUAUUUUGUUGGUUUCUAGGAUCGAUGUAAUGAUUAAUAGGGAUAGUUGGGGGCAUUAGUAUUCAAUUGUCAGAGGUGAAAUUCUUGGAUUUAUUGAAGACUAACUACUGCGAAAGCAUUUGCCAAGGAUGUUUUCAUUAAUCAAGAACGAAAGUUAGGGGAUCGAAGACGAUCAGAUACCGUCGUAGUCUUAACCAUAAACUAUGCCGACUAGGGAUCGGAUGAUGUUAAUUUAUAAUGACU